GACGAACGCUGGCGGCGUGCUUAACACAUGCAAGUCACGGGGGCCCGCAAGGGCAACCGGCGAACGGGUGCGUAACACGUGAGCAAGCUUCCGAUUAGUGGGGGAUAGCCGGCCCAACGGCCGGGUAAUACCGCAUACGUUCACUGGACGGCAUCGUCUGGUGAGGAAACCUCCGGGGCUAAUCGAGGCGCUCGCGGCCUAUCAGCUAGUUGGCGGGGUAACGGCCCACCAAGGCUAUGACGGGUAGCUGGUCUGAGAGGAUGGCCAGCCACAUUGGGACUGCGACACGGCCCAGACUCCUACGGGAGGCAGCAGUGGGGAAUAUUGCGCAAUGGACGAAAGUCUGACGCAGCGACGCCGCGUGUGGGAUGAAGCUCUUCGGGGUGUAAACCACUGUUGCCCGGGACGAACCUCCCCUUUCGAGGGGACUGACGGUACCGGGUGAGGAAGCACCGGCUAACUCUGUGCCAGCAGCCGCGGUAA
rnacentral:rRNA from 1 species